GUCUUAGAUAAUCUUUCUUGAGUGAUUUCUGCCUCGGCCGCGCCUGGCCGCCGCAGAUGAAACCCCGGUGAGACCCGUCGUCAGAUAUGGCGCUGGUACCUCAGCCGCUGCUCUCUUUCUCCUUCGCCUCCCCAAACCUACCAAUCCUCCGACUCCUCCGCCGCCCCCUCAAAUCCUCCACCACCAAAUGCUUCCUCCACCCCCAUCGUUUCCCGCGGCGGCGCAACCAACCAGUCGCCCGCCUACCAGACGACGACGUGCAUGACGUGGAGGCGGACAUGCGGAGCUCUCCCGCCAGCUCCUCCGGUGCCCACCUCGUCGCCCCCCUGGAUGACGAAGAGGGCGGCGACGGAUGGGGUCCAGCCAAUCCCAAUGGCGACGGCGCAGAGGAGGGAGGGCAGCUCAGCGAAUACGAGGCGGGUGAGUGGGACCCGCCUGUCAGCCCGUUCCGACCCCAGGCCCAGGAGCAUAAUCUCCAAGAGGAGGAGGAAGAAGACGACGAUGAAGACGGCGGGGACUGCCCGUGGUGGGACCCGAGCUUCUUCUUGCCAAACCAAGAAGAGGCAAGCACAACCACCACCGCGGCAGUGGAAGAAAUUCUCGCCUUCGCGAGGAGCCCAGCGGCGGCCGACGGCUCCGGAUUCGCUGAGUUCUUGGCUGGUUACAGCCGCAGAGCCCUCGGCGAGGACGAAUGCGUGGAAGUGAUGAUGAGGAUGGGUGAGGAAGGGCUGGCGUUGGGGUGCCUCCACCACUUCUUCCGGUGGAUGACGCGGACGCUCGAGGAGCAGCCGAUGUCCUCGUCGCCGCAGGCAUGGUUGGUGGCUCUCGUGUUGCUUGGACGGGCGCGGAUGGCCGAUGAUGUCUUGGAGAUUCUAGGAAGUUUGCCGCUGGAGAGGGGAUUCCGGGAGGUGGUUCUGUACAACGCUGCAAUGUCCGGUGUUGCCUACUGUGGAAGAUAUGACGAUACCUGGAAAAUAUUUGAGUUAAUGGAGAAGAACAAUGUCCAACCUGACCACAUAACAUCCUCGAUCAUGUUAAUGGUAAUGAAGAAGCGCAAGGCAUCUGCUAAGGAUGCAUGGGAGUUCUUCCAGCGGAUGAACAGAAAAGGUGUCAAGUGGAGCUUAGAUGCCUCUGCCUCUCUAAUUAAGAUCUUUUGUGAUGAGGGGCUGAAAAAGGAAGCUCUUAUCUUCCAGUUAGAAAUGGAGAAGAGAGGAAUCCCAUCAAACACGAGCAUUUAUAACAUGAUAAUGAAUGCAUAUUGCAAAUGCAGUCAAAUUGAAGAAGCUGAGGGACUCUUUGUUGAGAUGAAAGAGAAAGGGUUAAAACCAACAACCCUGACCUAUAAUAUCCUUAUGGAUGCCUACAGCAGAAGAUUGCAGCCAGAAGUUGUUGAAUCAUUACUUCUGGAAAUGCACAAUUUAGGACUAGUGCGAAAUGCUAGGUCAUACAACUGUCUCAUAAGUGCUUAUGGGCAGCAGAAAAAAAUGAGUGAAAAGGCUGAAGAUGCUUUCCUGAGGAUGAAGGCGGAUGGCAUUAAGCCUACAUCUUCUUCGUAUACUUCACUGCUUCGUGCAUAUGCAGUUAAUGGGCAGGAUGAAAAAGCUCAUACGACAUAUACAGAUAUGAGAAGAGAAGGACUUAAGCCUUCCUUAGAAACAUAUACGGCUUUACUUGACAUAUUUAGGAGGGCUGGUGACACAGAGAAGUUAAUGGAUACAUGGAAAUCAAUGAUUGAUGAAAAGGCUGGAGGCACUAGAGUCACAUAUCACAUGGUACUUGAUGGUUUGGCGAAGCAUGGGUUGUAUGUUCAGGCAAGAGAUGUAAUAUCCGAGUUCGGAGAAAUUGGUUUACCUCCUACAACUAUGACUUACAACAUUUUGAUGAAUGCUUAUGCAAAGGGAGGACAGCAUUACAAAUUGCCCCAGCUCCUGAAAGAGAUGUCUAUUCUGGAACUAAAACCAGAUUCAGUAACAUAUUCUACAAUGAUAUAUGCAUAUGUUCGUGUCCGUGACUUUUCGAGAGCAUUCUAUUACCACAAGCAGAUGGUUCGAAGUGGGCAAGUGCCUGAUGCUAAGUCAUACAGAAAGCUGUUGAAUACGUUGGAUGUGAAAUCUGCAAGGAAAAGCAUAAAGAAUAAAAGUACCAUUGUGGGAAUUAUAAAGGGCAAAUCUUCCUUAAAGCAUAGGAAGGAAAAGAAGGAUGAAUUUUGGAAGAACAGUAAAAAGCGGUCUAUGACCCAAGUCAAUGGGUACCAGCGAAAAAGAUUCUUGUGAUGCCCUAGUUAAGUGGAUAGAUACUCAUCCCCUAUGUUAUAUCAUGGUCCCCAUGCUUAAAUGCUCUUGAACUCUUCAGGUAUCGCUGCGAAGGAUGUCUUUUGGGUCAAACCUUUCGUUACAGGUCUAGGCCAGCACAGUCUGAACCACUUGUGCCAGUCGGCUUGGUCUUCUGAUCUGACUGGAACUCCUAGUCCUAGUUCCUAUCAAUCGAAUCGAUCGCAUUUGUAGGUCCAUGUCCAGCUUAAAACAUUACACAUGAAAUAUUUUAAAGGUGCGUGUCAUCUGUGGACCUGCAUUUGAGAAAUAUCCAAACUAGAACAAGUUCUUCACCAAGAGGCUGUAGUGUUAAAUAAUGGCAGUUCAAGAGUUGCAAUUGCAAGCAUUCCUUACCAUGAAGUUAAAACAUACUGUCGUUUUGGAUCUGAUAUUCCAAGACAUGGUUGGCCAGUUACGUCAUAUGCAAGAUUCUUAUUUUAUUUGGAAGUCUCUGACCUUCGGUACUCAUCUGACUAGUUAGACUGAAGCUAACGGCAUCAGAAAGUGUGAGGUGGUUGGCAAAUUAGAGGAUUGUAGAAAUAAAAAAUGAAAUACUCUGUUUUUUCGCAACUUAUUGGCAACAUAUUACGAUUACCUUCCCGAGGUGUGGGAUUCCUUU